rnacentral:lncRNA from 1 species
GCUGGGGCAAACGUGGCACCGAGAUGCCCCCCCCGGCUCCGGGCGCAGGGCAAGCUUCGCGGGAACGUGGAGAAGCCGAGCACCCCCGAGCUGCUGCGCCUGCUCUUCUCCACCUUGUCCUUCGUGAGUGUCGUCCCAGCCUUCACCCUCAGCACCCACCGGGGGGGCCGAGCCCAGCACCCAAGGGUGGGGGCACGGCCCGAGGAAGCCGCUCACAGCCACAACCCCCCGAGCAGGUCCUGGACCACUGCCCGGACCCCGGCCUGGCGUCCUCCGUGGAGACCCCGCUGCUCAUCCAGGCGGCCAUGGACCUGCUGGAGGAGACCCUGCACCCGGAGGACUACAACACCUGGAAGAGCCUGGGCAUGGCCUGGACCAAGAUCAGGGCCGAGUACCCCAACGGCGACUCGGUGCCCACCUACAUCCCCGUCUUCUCCGACGGGUGGCUGCCACCGCUGCUGGCGCAGCCGGGGGUCCCCCCUGCCGCCGAGCGGGUAAGUCCCGGCCCCACGGCGGUCCUGGCGGGGCGGGGGGGGCAGCCGGGGGGGGAGCAUUGCUCCCUGCCUCGGUUUCCCCGGCUCGCUCUGAGCGCUGAUCCCCUUUGCUCCCCGCGCAGGUGCCUGCCGCGAGCCCCGGGGACAACCUUGUGUCCCCUCUCUCCACCCCGCCGCUCAUGCAGGCCCUGUACGAGUUUCAGGGCAGGAACACGCAGGAGCUGA